rnacentral:lncRNA from 1 species
UGACGUAACGCGGGGGGAAGCUGGCGAGGGGAGCUGCUCGACACGCUGACGUCGGAUGGAGCUGGAAUGAGAGCACUGGCACAUUCGCACACUUCCCUUUUAGUUGUGUUUUUUCAUUGUUUUGUUUUGGUUUUUUGGUUUUUUUUUUUCUUGUCUUCGAAGCGUGCGCCCUGGCAAAGCAGGGCCUCGUGUGGGGCCAGACGAAGAGCAAGGAAUGAUGCUGGAGUGGAGGAACGGGACAGUUUUUAAGGGAUGGUGCCUGGCAGAAAGGAUUAUGGCUGGUGCCUGAAGCCCCAGCACAAAAAGGGUGGGGAUCCGUGCCCCGAAAUGCAGCCGUGCCAUCCGGCACCCCUGCAAGAGCAGCUUUCCGCGGCACGGCACGUGCCAAAAUGCACGUGGGGAUUCAUAGCACAAGCUGCGACCACAGCGGCUUCUAACCCUUGUUCUCUGGGUAUGGGAGGGGAGAAAAGGUGUGCGGGCAGCGACAUGAACUUCUGGGUGCGGGGAGUGUUUGCCAAGUUGGGAAAGAGCAGAGGGAGUGUUUGCGCUGCAAACUUCGGCCGUUUCAACAUCGCCGAUUGCACAGCCGCUGCGCGCCCGUGGUUUGUGUCUUCGGGGGAUUUAUUUUUUGGUGGUGGCUUUUCGUACAGAUGAGGCAAAGGAGGGAGAUUUACAGCGCUCACCGAGCUCUUGGCACACCGAGUUUAUCCCAGGUCCAAGCCUGGACGUGCUUUGGGGGGAAAAAGUCUCGUUCUGCUCAGAUGCCCACUUUGGCCACCUGGGAAGGAGAUGAAUUUCUUCCUCUCCUUCUGAGAUGGUGGCUGAGGGCUUAGAAGGGGCAGAAGAGCAAAAUCAAAAGGUCUCAGCUGGCAGGACUCAGCUCUGAGCGUUCUUGCUGGCUUUCAGGGUUUUUAUUUGUUACAACGUGGAAAAACACCGAGAUCCCCAAAUUCCUGCUUGAUGGGGAAAUGAGGAACGUGAGCCACAUUGCAGUAACUUCAUUUUCUUGGCCAGGCUUGGUUCUUGCACAGGACUCUGGUUUGGGUUCACCAGCCUGGAGCUUCCAUGGGGGAGAGCUGCUGGGAAAGGGGAAGAAAGCGCUCGGCAAGCCAGAGGAAAGCUUUUCCAACUUCUUCUUUGUUCCAGGGAACCCUGCAGCUCAGCUUCUCAUGCAUUCGCCCCGUUUGCAGCACGUUUGCAGCAGGUCCGAGUGCAGGUGGCACCUCGUGGCCCUUCAAACAUUAACCCGUGCCUGGGAGCAGUGCGCUGCUGAAAACGACUUCUCUCCAGAUUCAGCUGGCUCCAGCGCCCCGCAGCCCUCCAGUUCCCUGGAAAAUAGGGCUGAAAGCAGGCAGCGGGUCCGGAGCGAUAUUCGGAGGGCUGCAGGCGCACGAGCAAUGUCAAGAAGGACUGGUCGGACCACGCGCUGUGGUGGGAGAAGAAGAAGACGUGGCUCCUGAAAACUCACUGGACGCUGGACAAGUACGGGAUCCAGGCUGACGCCAAGCUGCAGUUCACGCCGCAGCACAAGCUGCUCCGCCUGCAGCUGCCCAACAUGAAGUACGUGAAGGUGAAGGUCAACUUCUCGGACAGGGUCUUCAAGGCGGUUUCCGACAUCUGCAAAACCUUCAGUAAGUAUCAGACUUUUGGGUUCGGCUUCCCCUGCUCUGUGUUUAAGCCGGUGGUGUUGGGUCCUCGUUUUUUUAUUUUAUUUUUUUUUUUUCUGCAAAUUUACGCGCUAUAUGGCAAACAAAGCCUGCAAUGGGGCGUCUGCCAGAUGCGUGGUUCUUUUCCAGAGGAAAAUCGUAUUAGAGGUUCAGUGAUGAUGCUCCUCUAUAAAACUGUCUGGUGGAGGGAAGGGAGCGAUUCUUCCUCCUUCCUCCCCAACUCCUCCUUCCUCUGCUUCCCUUGGUAAAUCUCCCUCCAAAAUACAUGGUGCUUGUCCAAGGCUUACUACCUCCAAGCAUCUCCUUUUACCCAUUUCCCCAGGUUUUCCCCCCCAAAACCUGGGCAUGACCUUUUCGCUUCUCCCAAACACGAGGGGCGUCCUCCCCUCCCCAAGGAUGCGCCGCGAGCCGAGCCCUGGCGUAGUAAAAUCUAUUUCUGCUCUCCCCAAACGCCUCUGGUUACUCUUGGCUGACCCAAUUAUUUCACGGAGCAGGAAGGGGCCGGCUGGGAGCGGGCUGUUAGGACGUGGCCCCCGUGCCUAAGCCGAUAUAUAUAGCUGGAGAUGGAGCCUGAUAGGGCUCCUCUCCGCUCUUUCUUUCCUGUUUUGUUUUUGGGCUUUUCCUUUGGAUAAAUAUUGGGAAAAUUCUGCUUAAAAAUAGAAAAGCCUUAGCCAGCGUGAUGGCCGAGCGGCUUCAGCGUCCUCCCACGUCUCCCGGUGCCGUUUUCAGUACCUUGAAGGCAGAGGGGUCACAAGCGGCGGCUUUGCUGCUGCCCAAUCUCCCCAGCAGUGUG